UUAAUAAGCUUCUAUAGCAAUUGUUUUGAAAACAAUAGAUAAAGAUUAAUAACUUUAUUAACUUUUACUA
rnacentral:tRNA from 1 species